AUACAUGGCCGACGCGGGUCAAAGUGUAGUAACUGUUCUUAUAAGCUUAAUAUAUGAUAUGGGUUGUAUUUGUACUAAGAUAUUAAACUAAUUUUUGCAAGUUGGCGGCGUGCUUAAAGCCUGCUUCACCUCCACCGCGGGUCGGCUCGGUAUUGCACUCUCUUCGGGACCGGCCCAAGUAUG